CCCUCCACCCUCGGGGUGGGGGAAGGGUCUUGUGAAUAUGCUGAGCUGGGAAAGCUUCCGGAGCCUUGCAGUUCUGUGUACUCCUUGAGCCUUGGCUGUGCCUGAGCUAUGGGAAAUGGGGAUGAGAACGGUCAGUUUCCUUCCACGUGACUUCUAAGCCUUCCCGUGCGCCACAGGCGGUGACCUUCUCCUUCUGUAGCGGCUGUAAACUGUUACAGAGUCACACUGCACAACAAACCUGACACAAGAGAUUUACUGGGACAGACACAAGAGGGUGGCAGCCUCUGCUCAGAGGAACUCCCCAGGCCUUCCAUCAGUGCCUGGCCCAGCUCUGUGGUCAAGUGCAAGAGUAACGUCACUCUCCGAUGCAGGACUCAUUUCCAGAAUGUUAUAGUCACUCUGGGAAGGUUGCACAACUCUCAGUAUCGGCAACAGAAGCAAUCACUGGGAAAGGAAGCUGAGUUCCACCUCACUAAGCUGCAGCUUGAGAUGCUGGGGGCUAUUUCUGUACCUACAGAGCAGCAGCCUCCCACAGUGGUCAGGACAGUCAGCUCUUACAGUUGGAGGUCACAGAUUCAUCGCAGGAAGAACCCCACAAGAGGUAGGUGAAUGCACAGUCCUUGGCAAACUUCGCACCCCAUUUCCUCAGCCCUACCUCUCUCCAGCCUGUUUUCUGCCUCACUUCCCUCAGAGUCUUUACCCUCUCCCUCAAACCUUUAUAACCUAUAAUUCCAUGUUCCAUUUAUAUUCUCCCUUCUGUCUCCCACUCCUUUCCCUCAUCCCUCUCUCUCAAAACCAACCAUUCUAAUUUUUCAAGGGAGGAGGAGGAACUUGUUAUAGGUAAGUGAUAAGAUAGCAGAGAGUCAUU